CGAAAACUAUCAGUCCCAAUUUCUAGAAAGCUCCCAAAGGCAACCCUCUCUCUUACCAAAUUAAUGUCACUGUUUUGCUACAUUCGAAUCGAAAUUUGAACUUGAAGAAUUUGAAACUUCGUCGCCUGAGGUUUUGGAGGAAAAAGAGUAGUCGAUUUGUGGUAGUGAAGAAUUAGGUUAUAAAAGCUCGAUUGUUGGUGAUCAUAAUGAUUUUGAUGAUGACUCGGAGGAUGCGAAGACUACUGAGUUGAAUGAAAAAUUUAGUGCGACAAUGGCAUUUGUGGCGACUACUGCGGCCGAUAAGGCGGCUCAGAAGGUGUUGAAUGAGUUGUAGUUGUAGCUCGAUGGAUUGUAUAUAUUUGCAACCAUAUAUUGCUCCCAGCCAUCUGCGUUGAAAUUCACUGUUUGUGCCGAAUGUUGAUCCUUUUCUGCAUUAAAUAUGAUAUAUAUAUAUAUAUAUAUAUAUAUAUAUACAUACUUCUUUAAUUUGAUGCAAAUUAGAUAGUUAUCAAGAUGUAUUCAUAAUUGAAUAUUUCUCCCGUGUAUUUACAAUUAAGAUAUUGAUG
rnacentral:lncRNA from 1 species